CUUUGCUCUUCCAAAGACUGCAUUGCCUUUAAGGAAGGCCAGCUACAUCGAAGGGCACACCACAUGAACAUGAUGAGUCAUCCUGUGAAGGAACUGAGCCAUCUGCAAUACAACAGCUGUUUGGAAACUUCAUCUUCUUACUGAGCUUUGCUGUCUGCUACAUGCUUCCUGUGGAGUGGAACAUCCACAAACAUUUUAAAGAAACGGCUUUUUGUCCCACCAAAGCUCCUGGCACUACUGACUUUGGAUCUGUGGGCAGUAUUUGGAUCAAUAGCAGUAUUGUUGCUGAUUGAAAAGUCAGGGAGACACACACACAUGUACCCCAGGUGCUGAUGACUGAACACUUAGACUCACACAUCAUAUGUGGGUAAGCUCUCCCAUCUACCACCUAUCUUGAGGAUUAUCAGCCACCUCUCAACACACACAUUAAGCAUUUGAAAAUAGACACUACUGAUAUUGGAUGAUAGCAAGGUUCAGAAGACCUUCCAGAGGAUUUCGAGGAUCUUCUGUCCUCAAGGAAUCCAUUACAGACUUCUACUUGCAGAAAAGGCAAGAAUGGCUGAUUAGGAAGAAAGAUACUCCCAAGGGAGGAGUUGGGCAGGAGGAAAGAGAUAAGAUGGAAAAACUCUCUGCCAUAAAGGACCUGGGCUCUUCUGACUUACGGCCACCCAUCAUGGCUUCUCNUAAUGGGGCCCUGGGUGCAACUUGGUUACUUACACUUACUAGCAAGUACUUGGCCAACUGAUACAUUCCCCCAACUCAGUGUUAUCUUUUCUAUACAUCCUCAAGCUACUAUAGACAAGAGAGAAUUGAGACGAUUUCUCGCUCUAAAUCUGGUCCUAAGUAUGAAGGUCCUGUUUCCUUUUCCAGUGUGUGUAUCGGUCUGUGAUAGGGGUCAGGAGUGGACCUGCCUGACUUCCCAUUUACAGUAAUGCAGAGUAGCUUCAAUGACAAGUGGCCCCUUGUAUAUUAAUACAUUUCUCCAUUGAUCCUACUUUACAUCUCAGCUGGAGACAGCUCAACUGAGCAGCACAUAUAUUCUCCCUCUACAACCUACAAUAAAGGAGUGGAUGCUCUCUGGAACAUUCCUACUCCACUGCAGAGGCCCAGAACAGAGUAACAAUCACUGGUAUGGACUAUGUAUCUAAGGCUUAAGCUGGUGAGUCACACCCUCAACACCUACUUCUCAGGUCACCUCACAAACCAGGUGAUAUUACUAAUUACAUAUUACUAUGCCAUAAAAGAAACAGGA